CUUCAGACCAGCCCACCUGCCAGCUGAAUACUUAUGAUGAAGGUUUAAGAAGCAGCAUCAUCAGCGAACUGUGUUUUGAAGAUUUGAGGGAAGGGCUGACCUCAGGAUUUUAUACUAGGUAUUUGAUGCAAUGCAGACUGGAAUCCUCCCCACAAGGAUGCCCUGGCCUGAGUGGCACAGAGAUCAAUGCAGCAGUCAUUUCCUGGGCGGGGAAAGCCCAUCCACAGUGGCCCUGGAAUGAUGCUGGUCUUACCUUCUAUUCCUAGGAAGGCCCUAUCUCAAGUGGCUCUGGUCCAUGCAAACAGAUGGAAACGGGUGUGGGGAAGCACAGGCCUCCUACUCAUGUUAAGAGAGCUGCUCAGAGGCAGGAAUCCAGAACCAGGAAUGUCCCCAGUGGCUGCCCAAGGUACAAGUGGCAGGCAGCGGGGAGAAUGGCAUGUGAAGUCAUUUGUAACCUGGCCCCAGCUUGGUUUCCAAGUCUCAGAGGAGAUUAUGGAUAUGGUAGUGCCUGGCUCAGUGCUUAAAAUCCAUUCUCCUGCUAUUUCCCUCACCUACACUCAGCCCCACAAGCCGAGAUGUUUGCUGGACAUUUCAGGCACUGCCACCCAGUUCUGUCUACCUUACCUGCUAACACCUGUUGACCAUCCUUCAUGUGAAGGCUUCCCCA
rnacentral:lncRNA from 1 species